UUUCUAUACUAAUCAAUGUAACCAUCUAACAAUGAAACCCAACGUCCGGAUAAGCCGAAAGAUUGCAAAGCAAUAUUCUAGAACCUACUGACUUAUGAUUACUAUAUAAUUCAUCUCUUUGAUCCUAAUACUCAAGGUGACCAAGGGUUUGACUGUCAACCCUAAUAUAGUCAACCAUAUUAUAUUUCAACCUUUCAAAUCUAUCACAUAGAUUAUCCUGGCAAAGAUUUUACUAAAUUGAAAUACAUUGAUGCAUAUCUCCUACUAAUUCAAAGAAAUCAAUUCCAUCUUUACUCACACAC
rnacentral:lncRNA from 1 species